rnacentral:rRNA from 1 species
GACGAACGCUGGCGGCGUGCCUAAUACAUGCAAGUAGGACGCAGUUGCGAACGGGGGAGUAACGCGUAGGUAACUACCUAUUAGAGGGGGAUAACUAAUGGAAACGAUAGCUAAUACCGCAUACUAGUAGAUGGACCUGCGUUGUAUUAGCUAGUAGGUAGGGUAAUGGCCUACCUAGGCAACGAUACAUAGCCGAGCUGCAAGGGUGAUCGGACACACGGGGACUGAGAAACUGCCCAAACUCCUAAGGGAGGCAGAAGUAGGGAAUCUUCGGCAAUGGGGGGCACCCUGACCGAGCAACGCCGCGUGAGUGAAGAAGGUUUUCGGCUCGUAAAGCUCUGUUGUUAAGGAAGCGGUACUUAACCAAAAAGGGACGGCUAACUACGUGCCAGCAGCCGCGGUAAUUC